GGAAUCCAUAGCUGCUGAAUCUGAAGGGCCUUCAGAAGACUGGCUUCUCCAUGGUGGUUCAUGGACUAAGGCAAAGAUGAGCAGAGCCGUGGCCCUCUUCUUUGUUCUCUGCUGGAUCCAAGUUAUUGUUACUAUUUUUGAGAUAGGGUCUCCCUCUGUCACCCAGGGCUGGAGUGCAGUGGCAUAAUCACAGCUAAUUGCAGCCUCAACAUUCCAGGCCCAAGGAUCCUCCCUUUAGCCUCCCAGGUAGCUGGGACCACAGAGAUGGGGUUUCAUCAUGUUGGCCAGGCUGGUCAUGAACUCCUGACCUCAAUGGAUCCUCCUGCCUCAGCUUCCUGAGUAGCUGGGAUCACAGGUGCACACCACCACACCCAGCCUCCCAGAGCGCUGGGAUUGAAGACGUGAGCCACCGCACCUGGCCUGAAUUUUCCUCAGAUUCAAAAAAUCCUGAUGAAGGUUUGGCUAAAAUCUUUGGUGAGUUACCCCCAUCCUUGUGGAACCUCAGGCUGGAUUUGAAGAGUUGCAUGCGUGGUCCUCAUUGUCUCCCAGGUAACCUGUUCCCAAUGCUGUGAAGGGAAGGCAGGUGCUCUUCCUUGAGGCUAGAAUCUGUCUACGUGUCACAGUCUCAGGAAAUUAAGCAAAACAGAUGAUAAACACCUCAAAAGGACCCUACUGAGCAUGAGUGGAGCAGAGCAGGGCCAUGU
rnacentral:sRNA from 1 species